AUUGAACGCUGGCGGCAGGCCUAACACAUGCAAGUCGAGCGGAUGAAGGGAGCUUGCUCCUGGAUUCAGCGGCGGACGGGUGAGUAAUGCCUAGGAAUCUGCCUGGUAGUGGGGGAUAACGUCCGGAAACGGGCGCUAAUACUGCAUACGUCCUGAUGGAGAAUGUGGGGGAUCUUCGGACCUCUCGCUAUCAGAUGAGCCUAGGUCGGAUUAGCUAGUUGGUGGGGUAAAGGCCUACCCAGGCGACGAUCCGUAACUGGUCUGAGAGGAUGAUCAGUCACACGGGAACUGAGACACGGUCCAGACUCCUACGCGAGGCAGCAGUGGGGAAUAUUGGACAAAGGGCGAAAGCCUGAUCCAGCCAUGCCGCGUGUGUGAAGAAGGUCUUCGGAUGGGAAAGCACUUUAAGUUGGGAGGAAGGGCAGUAAGUUAAUACCUUGCUGUUUUGACGGUACCAACAGAAUAAGCACCGGCUAACUUCGUG
rnacentral:rRNA from 1 species